GUUUCUACUGAGGUGUGCGGGUGUUAACGUCACAAGAUGCCGAUACAAGAGUCUUUUUACUUUUUAGAAAUCUUCAUCCCGAUGAUCACAUUUGGCAUCACCAUCAUCUGCUGCACAGCCUUUUGUAAGGCCUUCCACCGGGCCCGCCAGGAGCAACUGGACCGGGAGGAGAGACGAGACAGGCCCUCCAUCUACGUCAUUCCCUUCCCCGCAGUAUCUUAUGACAGCGAAGACAUCCACAGGCCUCCUCGCUACAGCACCUCAGAGUUCUCCAGCCCACCUCCGGCCUACAAUGAGGUGGAGAUGAAGCCAGACUUUAUCCACCCAGAGCUUCCUCCAGCCUACUCGGAGGUCUCCAACGCGCCUGUUUUCCCCCUGCAACCUUACUCGGCGUCUCCUGAACCCCACUCCCAACCAUAGGACCGUACCAGCUUAGGAAGCCUGCGAGGGGGAGGCCUGAAGCCACAGACUAAGGGAUAAAUGACACAGAAUAUGGCACAUACUGUAUGUGGAGUGGGGAUUCUGAAGCUGGAUAUGUACAUGUAUACCACAGAGACUUGGUCCUUGGGAUUGUUCAAUGGGGACGUGAGGUGGAAAGUUUGGAGACCAUAAGGAAAAGCAAGUGUUUCGACACCUAUGAAAGUGUGUAACUGUAAAGCAGAAGUAGGGGACAAGAGAUUGAAUGGGGUUGCGUAGUAGCUAUAGCUACCAAUCUGUACAUACCAGUGUGUAAAUAUAUAUACAUCUUUCAAAUUUUAUUUUUCAAGGUGCCAUGGAACUUCUGUAACAUGGUAAAUAAAGUCUGUUUUCGUUACCAAAGAUUCAAUCUGUCCUACAUUGGUCAUGUCUGAUGCUGUAACACAUCGUCCGUGCUCUUUGGCCAGAUAGGUUACAUAACAUAACCAGGAAGCUGUUCUGUAAAACACUGGUAAGAUAUUGAACAAACAAACUGAAAGAAAUGUACUAUGUGAUGGACAUGACAGUUUUUGGCAUUCCUCUCGGCUAUAAACAUGUUAUUUCCUCUUACUCCAGUUGCCCAAUCAAAUAUCCUGACAUGAAUAUGAACAAGUCUUUGGCUGAUGGUGUGUAGUGUACUAAGUGACAGUAAAAUAGUAACCCCUUGACUUAAUGCCCCCUUGCCUAUGACUGUAAACUAUGAUCAAAACAUAUAUGGCCCAUCUCUGUCAUUCAUGAUCUAAGAUUAGGCCAGAGGUUGAGCAGUUGUUACUGAGAUGCCUCAAUGCUACUAACCCAACACUGUUUUGCUUUGUGUACAUGAACAAUACUAGCAUUUUGCAAAUAUGACAGACUGGGAUUGAAACCUGGGUCUCUAGUGUGCUUGUGGACUGUGUUAGCCCGAUGAGCUGAAGCCUAGGCAUUAACUUGGGGAACUAACACUUGUCUUCAGGACAGGUGUCAGUGCAAAGUUACUCACUCAUCACGAAUCUCAUAGCAAAAGGUCUGAAUACUUAUGUAAAUAAGGUAUUUCUGUUUUUUUCUCAUUUUUAAUACAUUUGCAAACAUUUCUAAAAACCUGUUUUCGCUUUUGUCAUCAUGGAGUAUUGUGUGUAGAUUGAUGAGGACAUUAUUUUUUAUUUCAUCCAUGUUAGAAUAAGGCUGUAACGUAACAAAAUGUGGAAAAAGUCAAGGGGUCUGAAUACUUUCCGAAGGCACAGUAACACUUGUCGUGAAUGUUUAAGUGAUUUUAAUGGCAUGGGAGUUCAAUGUCCAGUUCCCAGCAUAGUGUUUGUACUGAGACGUGAGGUGCAGUGAGAGUGACUUAUUUUCUCCUAUCUGCCAUUGGAGUCGAUAGAACAGGACAAGCUGAAACCUACCUGGUGUCUGUCUACAGUACUAGGUGCAAAACGUACAGCAGUGUAAGCACAGUGUAACAGUGAUAGGUACUACAGUAACAGCAUUACUUGGUUACAAUGGAUUGUAACAAGUAUUAUUCGAACAUAAUCUGGUUGAAACUACCCGCGGGGGGGGGGGGGGGGGGGG
rnacentral:lncRNA from 13 species